ensembl:lncRNA
AUGAAAAAAUAAGUCCCAGGUUGUGCAAAAGUGUUUAAAAUGUAUAUUUUUGAAUAUAUUAGUUUUAUUCAUGAUUAACUUUGUUUUUCUAGGUGAGGCGUUCAGAUGGAGGCUGAGAGUGAUGUCUGUGAGGAACAGGAGGAGCAGGCGAUGAUCUGGUCCAUCCAGGAGGCUCUGGAAAGGCAGACGCAGCAGAUCGGAGCGUCCGCCUGUGGAGCCACGGCUGUGGUGGAUGUGCUGAAGGCUCUGGGUGUCGACGUGGCCUUGGAGAAAGUGGAGCGGUGCGUGAAAACACGCCUGAGGAGGAACAAGUCUCCUCUACCUGACUAUCUGCUGUCCCGGAGCGAAGCUGGUGCGACCCAUGCUCAGCUCAUCCAGGGUGCUCAGGAGGCCAGCGAUGACAAGGUGAUGGGUCGAUUCUUUCAUCUCCACCCUCGUCGUCAGAUCCGACUCAGCUCCUGGCUGGCUAGCUGGAUUCGGCGCGGAGCCGUCCCCGUGGCAACAAUGAACAUGCAGCGGGCGGUACCCGAAGGCGAGGAAGUACCUGACGCCUGGCAUCACCAGCUUGUGUUUGGAGUCGCCACCGACACGGUUUACAUGACCAACCCGUUAGACGCAGGUGAGGAAACUGCUGUCGCUCUCUGGGUUAAACUGAGCGUUUAUUGUUGGAACUUUGUGUUGCAGUGAGUGAAGAGGAAUUGCACCAACGACUCUGUAGUGAAUCUGUGUUGCUGAUUCGUCGGGAAGACGUGCUGACGAGGCUGAGGCCCGACGGCUCCCUGUCCCAGUUCACUCAGCUUGACCCUCGGUGGAAGAGCCUGGACGUGGAAGGUAAAAAAAAAAAAAAAAAGACUUUUGCUGCGUUUCACUCCAGAGUUGUGAUCAUAUCUCACAGUUUACUUGUGUUUUCUCAGGUCAAGUGAGGAAGAUGGUGGAAGAAGGAGACACACACAUCACUAUUCCUGCUGCGUACAGCUCAGGCGUCACACUCUUUGCUCUACGACAGUCAGAAACAGCUCAGAAGCUCCUGGAAGCAUCAAAGCUUCCUCUGCUGUGAGUGCGACACGUUCGUGACUGAGGGGAUGAAACUUCUGAUUAUCAAAGCACAAGGACAGGAUUUAACAUUUCAGAGCUCCGUGAUGACUACGUAGUGUUUGUGCUGAUCACUCAAGGGGAGCACAGGUCAUCCCUGUUGUAAGACAAUAAUCAUUAUUGUGUCCCAACAAACACUGACCUUACAGCGUAACUAAACCUCAAGCCCACUUUUUUCUGCUGAAUACAUAUGAAUUAUACUCUUCACAUUUUAGUAAAAGUGUUUUCAUUUUGCGUAUUUAUUUGUAAAAAGUCAGAGUUACUGCCCUCUAAGGGUUGAAUGCUGGCUAUUACAACAGAAUUUUGCUAAUGGCUGAAAUUGAUUAUUUGGAUCCCCCUGCGUUGUCAACUUUCACCUCUGGCCCCACCCACUUUAGAAAAGCUGAGAGGAGGGAGGAGGGUUUCCUCCAGUCACAGCCCUCAGUGAACAUUGAUUGACAGCCUAACUGAGGAAGUCCACUGUGUUCCGUGUGAAACAGCCACCGUACCGGUGAUGUUUGUGCCUCUGUGCGUCUAUAAAGAGCAGAUUCUGUGCUAAUCAGAGUGUUCAUCAAGCUAUGUGUGUAUUUACAGACACACCUAUGCUAUGUGUGUA